rnacentral:misc_RNA from 1 species
AACAUCCAGAUCUGGCAAGCAAGAAAGAAAGGGAAGCAAAGAAACCCAACCUGGAAGAAGCCCCAGUCCUGGCAGGCCGCAUGGAGGCGCGCAGAUUCCUCUGGGUCGACCAGCAGCAGUCGCUGGAAGUCGAUGAUGGGGAUGGUCGUCGCGUCGUCGGCAACGACGACAUCCGCGGCCAGAUCUGGACGGAGAUACCUUGGUGGCACUGGUGCAUGACGACCAGCGGCCACCAUGGCCUGCACGCUGGGCACAGGGAGAGACCCCGUCAUCUCCAUCUAGAUCGUCGAGCUCCCCGGGAGAAUCGUACAGUACAGGAGAAUCGUUGCAACAUGGAUGAUCAGACAGUUAAGGAUUAUUUAAUCAGGGCCUACCUUUGAGGAAUAGGCAGGGAUGUUGGACCAGAUUGCUGUGCGUUCGGCUGGGGAUGAUGCUCCUUCUCAAACGCUAGCGAAUACGACCCUUUACCCCUUAACUAAAAUAAAACUGAAAACAAAGAGAUAAAUAUGAAGAAUACCGCUGGUUGUCUAUUUCUCUUCUCUAAUACCC